AUUAGUUAUCCAUUUUAACAGCUGAUGAGAGUAGACUUGAUCCAGGAAUCAAAGAAGAAGUUGUUUCCUGGUAGAGAAACUUCCAGACCUUUCAGAAGGGAGUCAAAGAAAAUGCAGCGAGAAGUAAGGCCUGGGCCGUUUUACGUCAUGAUAUGGGAGAAUAGAUAUCUCCACAGUCUUUAAGAAAUACAUGGUCAGGGCCAUUGGGUCCUGGAAACACUGUGUGUUUUUCAGGUUGGAACAGCCGUGGAUGGUGAAUCGUCCUUGCCUCUGAGAAAUGAAUCUCUCAAGCUGUGUCUAUGCGGUAUUAAGUGAAAGGAUUAUCUGGAAAUUGUCCAGUUUGGAGUGAAGAACGAGAUCAUGCCUGGAUAACGGAAGUCUCAAGGUGAACAUCUGGAGUCUGACAGUUUCCACAGUUGAAGUCAACCCAACAGAUUUCAUGUCAGCCCAGAAGCCUCUGUGCUUAGAAGUGGACUUGGCUGUCUCUCAGUGUUUAACAUGUGUUCAGUUCCCCUUAAGCUGUCCCAGCCCUCGGAGCAGCCAGGUGUUUCAGAAUCUUGUCGAGAAAACCCAGCGAGUAACAGAUCUUCCAGAGGCGGGAAUCCUGCCGGGUCAGGGCUGACCCUGCACUUGGGGAGCCCAGGACAGUCCCCGGGAGGGGCAAGCGCCCCCUGCUGUGGGCCUGUCUCCUUACUGGGGUGCCCUUGACCUUGGUGGUCUGUCCCGUCCCCUCCCACCGCCACUCCCACCAGCAGGAGGCCUAUUUAGCAGGUCUCCACGUUUUAUCUGCCUUCGCUGCUUUCUAGCCCUAAUUUAAGAAUUGAAGCUUGCCCCCGUCCGUUAGCACUUUUGGGUUCUGUUUUCCUAAAAUGCUUCUCCAGAUGGCUUAUCCAUCAACCCUACCUGAUGAUUAGGUUUCCGCUGUUUUCCUGCUGCUUCAUCUUCUUUCCUCUGGAAGAGCUCGGUCUCGUUACCUCUCACCCUUGGAGUUCACUGUCCGUCCUUCGGGAAAACGGUACCAUCAGUGUCUUUGUGGCUUUGGAUGCUCACAGCUUGAGAUGGGGAUGGAAAUCCAGCCCACUCGGUGUCGUGAGCACGGCCCCCUUCCCCAUGGCUGGCAUCCUGGCUGUGACUCACCCCCACCCGUUAUCCUAAACCCACCCACCCUUUUCUUCCUGCUGUCUCCUGUCUGGAUGUGAAUCCCCAUAGCCUCCAGGCUGGUCUCCACACUCAGAUUCCACCCACCCCAGGACAUUUGCUGCAAUGCUAGCGGGAAAAACGAGCUUUCUAAAACUCAUCCUGAGCAUGUGAUUCUUCUGCCUAAAAUUCUUCAAUGGCUUGCAACCGGGCAAAUUCUAAAAUCCUUCUCAUGACAUCUGAAACCUUUGAGAACUGAAUUUCUGCCCGUGUCUCGGUUCCACACUAGAGCUGGCGGCCCCUGGGGACCUUCCUGCAGGGCCUGUGGGGUCUGCCUGCUUGGGGACCCCGACCCUGUCACUGGGAGGCCUCCCAUGACACCCCUACUCUGUCCCUUUAGAGAACCUAACAUGAGAUUUUUUUGCAUCAUGUACUGUAGUGGAUUAUUGUUUGUCUGAAUUUCCUGUUAGAAUCUAGACACGGAGCCCUGUGGGAAUGGACCAUCUCUCUUUAUAUUGGAUUUGUUUUUGCCUGUUUAACACAUAGUAAAUUCUCAAAACUUUUAGUGGAUUAAUAAUACAUUUGUGGGGGCUU